rnacentral:lncRNA from 1 species
UUUUUUUUUUUAGUGGCUGCAAUUCCUUUUUAGCAUUUUGCCUCUUUCUCUAAAUAUUCUAAGCACAACUUGUAUAUACUGCUCACAGAGAUACCCAUAGAUCGAACUCGCAAAAGUGCAUUUGAACAAAGGGCUUAAACACUCAAAUAAUUAAAUUGCAGGCUUUCCUAUUGAUGUAAAAGACAUAUUAUUUUUGCUUAAACCUAAUAGUCAAUGGAUUAUGAAAUUUAAUACCAUUAAAUGUACCACCUGGAAAAAAAAAGUUGAUGAUCUAUGAUGCAUGCUCAGGAAUAAUUCUAUACAGCAUAUAUAUUGGUCACAGUAACUUUUGGAAACUUUGAAAUGUAUUGAAUAUAUUCCAAGUGAGUUGUCUUGUUCUUUUUUUUUUUUCUUCCCCACAUGGUUUUCAGCUGAUAGGCAGCCAUUUUGUGCCUAUCCCAGUUGGCAAAUAUAACACAAUUUGAUCUCUUUCCAUUCUUAGAAACAAUGAAGCCCUUUGUUUUUGCCUUUCAAGAUGAUAAAUGGAAUUGCAGUCAUUCCUCUAGUGGCUAAUACCUGCCAGCAGAUCCUGAAAGAUGUCAUUGAUUUCUAGAUGUAUCCUGAUUUCAAGGUUGGUAAGUUCGGAGAAAAUGUGUUUCCUAGAAUAGAUAAAAUAUAGUAUAUGGUGGUAGAUUCCAUUCCUAAAACUGUCUAAUUUGUCUACUCAAAAGAAUGAACUGCCCAGCACUCCCAUCCACGUAUGGUUAUCAAUCUUAAGACUAUAACGGCAUUUGUGAAACAUUCACCAACAGAUGGGGAAGUGGAGGCACAGUGCAGAUUUCUUCAAAAGUGUGGCUACCCGACAUAAACAUCCUCUACCCAGAUUCCAUUUGAAGUGCUGAAAGAUGAAAAGUAUAUGGGCUUUGGUGCUUGGCAGAACUGAGUCCUCUUUCCAGCAAUGACCUUAGCUCACAUACGUUUUCUAUUCUGUAAAAUAAAGGCAAUAAAACAGAAAUAUUGUGCUGUUUCUCUGAG